GAAAAGAGGUUGUCCUAGGCUAGCUUGCAAGCCCCCAGGGACAGGAAGCGGCCACCAGUUUGGCUUCCCCCCAACACUCUCCCAGGAAAGUUCAGGGUCCAGGGGACAGCAAGUGGCAGCUCCGAGCUCCUCUGUUCUUCAUUCUUGUCACAGUCUGGGGACAGGGAAGAGGGAACAUGGGUUCAAUCCCUGGAAUCCAGGAAGAUGCCACAUGCAGAGGGACAACUAACGCUGCAAACCUCAACUACCGAGCCUGUGCUCUAGAGCCUGGGAGCCAAAACUACUGAGCCCAUGUGCUGCAACUACUAAAGCCUGUGCCCCCAAAUCCUGUGCUUUGCAACAAGAGAAGCCACCUCCAUGAAAAGCCCGUACACUACAAAGAAGAGAAGCCCGGCUCACUGCAACCAGAGAAAGCCCGCACGCAGCACCAAAGACCCAGCACAGCCAUAAAUAAAUAAAUAAAUUGAAAAACUGCAGUAGGCAGAUUAUCUA